UAAAAUACAACUUGUUUGAAUGAUGGUAAAUUGUCAAAGUUUUUGAUAGCUUUUGAUAAUUGCCAAGGCUUUUGCAACUACUUCUAUUUCAGCAUAGUUUCAUAUGUUCAUAUGUAUGAUCAAAGGUUACUCAUUUGACCCAAUGACAGCAAAAGUAUACCCACAACUGUGCUCCAAUGGGGGAAAUAUGAUUAUUAAGUUGUAUUAAUGCUAGGGAAACAGAGCCGUUCCCUUCAAGAGCUUACAGCAAAAGAAGCAAAUAUCCACAGACCCACCAAGAAGAGUCUGAUGCUACAAAAGUAGAGAAGCUCUGAGUGAUUAUUUCUGUUUUGG
ensembl:lncRNA